rnacentral:snRNA from 1 species
UUUGCCUCUCAGCCUUUUGGCUAAGAUCAAGUGUAAUAUCUGUUCUUAUCAGUUUUUGUUUUUUAAAAUUAGAUACAUUAGGGAGCUAAAGUUUUAACAAGGCAUGAAAUAAAAUGAGCAUAUUUACUUAUUAUCAUUCUGGCACAUUUUUAAAAUAAAGAGCCAGCCAUUG